CAGGACAUAGCUAAGACAGUACAGCAUCUCCCUUACACCGAGAAGACAUUCGUGCAAAUCGAAUUGUUCUGA
rnacentral:tRNA from 1 species